rnacentral:lncRNA from 1 species
ACAUAACAUUAUCUAAAUUGGUGUUAUUAAACUAUUUUAAAAGCGACAAAAUAAAGCUUAACUUCCAAAUUUGAAAUGCUGUGGAGGACUUAGUAAAAAAUAUUUUUGGCGUAUCCAGUGGAAGAUCAGAUGGUCCCAUGUCAAUAAAUCAUAUGAUAACUCCAUCAACCAAGUUGAUGGAAGUCUGGACAGCUGAAGAGGUCUCGUUUUUUGGUGUGCUUGAGCAAAUUGGUUUUAUGGAAUUAUUGGAAAAGGUUUGACCUUGAGACUGGGCAUGCAGAGCCAAUGAACAAAAUUUGAUUCAACGAUUACUUGACAAUGCUUUGAACAAUGCUGGAUUGGAUAUUCCAAGCAAUCGAGGAUAUGAAUUAUUCUAUCAUUGUUCAUUUGUAGUAGACGCCUAUGACUACAUUGAAAUAGUAAGAACGGUCAAUAGGGACUUUCACGAGGGUUAUAAUUCGAAGUCACCUUCUUCUUUUAGUGGUUAUGACUUCAAUGAUGACUCGUGCAAAUUUAUCUCUAGACACAUGAAAGAUUAGGAUAAUUUAAGAUUUAUCUAAAUUUUACUCGAUCUUAUCACGUAUUUCCUCCAUCUUUUGGAAAAAGUAUUGUUUUAUUUAUUUAUUAUUAUUAUUAUUAUUUUUUACUUGAGGUUAGAUCUAGUCCCUUUCUAAGUUGUACCAUGUUCUCUUUCCAUUAAUAAAAAAUUAAGCCACACAAGUUCCACAUUUUUAUUUUUUUUAAAAUUUUAUUUUAUUGUACAUGUUCCAUAAUUAUGGGGAAAAAAUCACAAUGCAUCAAGAAGAAGAAAUAACCCUUUUAUUUUUCCUAUUGCUACUGAUUAUUUCAUACAAAUAAUUGAAAACAAAUUUAAUGUAAAUUAUAAUCUUGAAAUUAUCCUUGCAAUUAUCUUCCCUAGAAUUAAAUCCUUUGAGAAAACUUCAAUAGGAAAUCGAGAAACGUUUUAAUCAUGAUAUUACGAUGGACCGUACUUCUUGUACACGGGCGUGUGUACUUAGUGCCCAGAUGUGGGACCUCGCCCCAUGUGAGGGGGAGAGGUGGGCUCGUGUACACAGGCGUGUAAACGCCCGUGUAGAAAAGGCUUUAUCCUAUUACGAUACACAAUUUCACAUCCUUGUGCCACCCCCACAUGCAUGCUCCGAUGCUCGCAUGCACCCCCACAAACACAAAGGCAGAGAGAAUACCCACAAAAUAAUAUAAAUUUGUUCUUUCUAACCGUUGGUCCGAGAAAUUAUAAGAACCCUAUGGAGUAUAUUUGAUAAAUCUUACCUCUUGGGACAUCAUUAUUCUUGAUUUAAAUCUUUAGCAAGUUUUAAAAGGCCUAAACACUUGAAAGGUUUUGAUAUACGUCUUUUUAUAAGCAAGCAUGUCUCGCUCGCUAGUUGAAACGAUAAAUUCACUUUUUGUCUGUAUAUAUACAUACUUAUUCACAUAAAUCUAAUCGUGAAAGUAGAUAAUACUAAGAACAUAACUUAUAUAAGGUAAUUAUGCAAGUCCUUUGUAAGUUAAAAACUUCUAAUCGUCCACAGAAAUAAUUAUUUUCUAAAAUUUUAGGGAACUCAAAUAUCGUGAAAAAAAUAAUUACUUCCCUCAAUAACCAUUUAUUCAAAGUAUAAGGACACCAGCGCUAAUUUUCUCAAACUAGUCCUAACAUUCUACAGUAGCAUCAAAAAUGCAAAUUAAAGAACAAAAAAGCCGCAAUCCCUGUUUCACUUUCCCAUUUGCUGCGCAUAAUGUUCAAAGCACUAGCACACUAAUUUAUUGAAAGCAGCUCAAGGAAGUGAACUGAGACAGUGAGAAAUCUAAAGAUUAAGCUGAAAAAUGGGUGUUUCUAUUCCUGUUCUUGUAAUUAUAAUAUCCCUUCACGCCAUUGCCUUCGUACUCGCCGUUGGUGCUGAACGACGGCGUAGCACGGUAGUCUAGUUUAUUGCUUUUUGAUUUAUUAUUUCUUUGUUUUUUAGUCAAUUUUAGAUUUUUUCGAUAGGAGUAAAUUUUUCUGUGGGUUUGUGUUGAAAGGCAACUGUGGUGCCGGACAAGUAUGAUGAGCAGACAUACUGUUUGUACGGCACCGACGCAUCGACGGCGUACGGUUUGACGGCGUUUGGGCUGCUAUUGAUUAGCCAGACGGUGGUUAACGGCGUCACCAGGUGCUUGUGUUUUGGCAGAGGGAUGAUGGCUGGGGGCUCUAAAACUUGUGCCAUUUUCUUCUUCAUUUUCUCAUGGUAAUGUUUGAAUUUACUAUAUUGUCCUUGUCAGUUCAGUUUAUUUACCAUUUGUUCCUCUUUUUUUUCUACUGCUUAUAUAUUUUUUUUUUUUUUUUUUUUCUACUGCUUAUAUGUUACGUGAACUGGGUUCAAUAAUAUGAGUGGGACAGUUGGGUCCCAUACAGUUGUUUUGCAUUGUCUUGCUUGUCAUUAGAUGAUGACAAAUAGGAACGCUGUAGUAAUUAAUUUGCCACUUAUGUUUAGUUUCUUGUUUUUAUGCUUGUUGUUCCUUUUUUUUUUUUUUACAAGGUGUCCCGGCUUGCGUCCGACUAGAUCCUUGUUCCACCAACUCGGACAUGUGAUGUUAUGUGGGAUUGAUUUUGCUGUUAUAUGGCUCAUUUAAGACUUUUCAUCUGAAUUAUGUGGGACUAAUGAAAGUCACUUCUGAUGUCUGUACUUGUUCUUUGGAUUCCAUUUGUUCUUUCUGCCUCAAACUGGAAAAAUAGAGGUCACUGAAGGAGUAUUAAUUAAGGACACAUGCACGUUCGAGGAAAGCUAUAACUUAUAAUUUGAAACCAAUCAAAGCAGAAUGUGACUCUAGGAACUACAGGAGUCAUCUAAGAGACAAAAAUCUUUGUACAGGUUGUAAUUGUUGCAUCAUCACUCCAUUUCUGAGUUCCUUGUAGAGGUUAUUACAUCUUGCGAAAAGGUGAUACAUGCUACUGACAUAUGCAUUGCAUGGUUGAACUCAAACUAUUUGUUAAUAAUUUAAUCCAAGAACACGGGAAGUUUAGUUUUUAGUUAUUUUACCUUUCAUCCUUGGCUCCUUUUUAUGACCCUCCUAUUUUCUUCUGCAAACUGGUUGUUAGACCUUCUUCUACGACAUGAUGCUGGACUUUGGAAAAUAAUAAGAAAGUGCUUCACAUGUUUGAGGAAUGAGCAUUGAGUUGCAGUCAAUGUUCGAGUAAAUCUUCAUUUAUUAUUAUUAUUAUUAUGCAGGAUCAAUAAAAUCAUUAUCAAAACCUAGUGUCUUUUUUUUUGGUAUAUGUUUAUGUAAUAUGUUAGUUACUCUCUAUUACAUCAGUUCUUUUAGUAGAUGUAGCCGUGGAUUAAACAAAGUUGCUUACUCCAAAUUUAUUAGGAAAAAGACUUGGAUUUUUUUAUUAUGUUCUUUCCAUCACUCCUUCAGGGGGUCUGUUUGGUUGAGACAAAUGAGAGAGGAACAAAGAAAAUAAAUACUGGAAAAUAAGAAAUUUAGAGGAGCAAAGUUUUUAUUAUUUAUUUUUAUUUUAUUUUAUUUUUAUUCUUUUUUUUUUUUUAAUUUUUUUUAAAAUUUUUUUUGCUUUGCACUAGUUUGAGAAGAAAGUGGGAGAAAAGUUGGAUUAGAGAAGAAAGCUGUUAUAUUCUAUUUCAUUUCUUUUAAACUAUAUCAUGAAAGCCAAGAAAGGAAGGGAACGCUUUCACACUUCAAUUAUAAUAUGCAUUAAAGAAGAUGCUAAUACUUGGACAGCCAAAAAUGGUAUUUUUAUCUGUCAGACCCAUGUCGUGGGAUUGAUGAAGACAUGGUCAUUGCAUUGCUACCUAACUCUUUAACGGAUGCAAAAUGAACUAGGUGGACUUUUUGCAACACAUAUCAAGCUUGAUACUGGGGAUUUAUCUAUGAAGCUUGACAUCACAAUAAAAUUUCUUCGACUAACUUUUUUGAUCUUUGAACUCAGUUCUUUCAAUCUUGUCUGAGAUUCAGCUUCUACUUAAGGCUGGUUGAUCCUAAAAAUUAUUAAUUUUAUUGUCAGCUCUUUCCUCAUCUGCAAAACAGAGCACUGUCCAAUAUUAAAAAGUGUCUUUCUGUGAAAGGAAUAAAAUUGAUUCAUGCGACAUUGCUAUCUGUGGUGAGCCUCGGUAGAUUUAAUAAAUUUGUAAAACAAAAUGUAUCAGACAAGUUCCAAAAUCCUAGUGAUGGCCUUGUAUUUAAUAUGCCCUGAAGAGAAUCACCUAAUUGUCAAGUAUCCAAGUGACCAAGAAAUUCCUAAAUUAUUUUAAGUUAGAGACCUGAAUAAAACUAUUGCUAUUCCAUAAAUUAGAAUAAAUCAUUUACUCUUAAAAUUUAACAGAAUGUAAUCAAUCCUAUUGCUUUGUGUUCUGCAUCAGUGCAUUUUUUACGAUUCUAUAUUUUCGAGGGGAGGGAAAGGAUGGAAGUCGGUGGCUAGGGUAGGAGAAAAGGGAAUCAUUUGCUCUAGUCACUGUCAAUCAUUUACAUCUGGAUUUGGAUAGACUUGCACAUGCAGACGAUGAAACUAGUCUAAUGUUUUGGUGAUUUUGUAUUCUUCUGCCACCCAAUCCCAUAUACACUACAUACUGAGUUGGUCGAUUAGCAGUAAUGGCUCAUAAAUCUGGAAAACUCAUCACAGAUUCAGAAAGUUCAUGCAUUAGCUCUAUAUUUUGACCUGUUCCAUGAUCUGCCCAUGUUGAUAUACUUCAAUUCUUUCAUUUUAUUAAACCGUGUAAACACGCUGAAUUCUUUACAUUCACUUGCAACGACAUUCAUAAAAUCACCAGGGUUAGCUUUUUGGGAGCAGAGGCGUGCUUAUUGGCAGGAUCAGCAAGGAAUGCUUAUCAUACCAAAUACCGUGCAAGUUUUCACAUCGAGCACUUAUCAUGUACAACUCUCCGGAAAGGUGUAUUUGCAGCUGGUGCUACUCUAACAUUAUUAUCAAUGAUGGGUUCUAUCCUGUACUACUGGUCCCAUUCCAAGGCUGAUACGGGUGGAUGGGAAAAGCAUAACAACGAAGGUGUUGGAAUGACCACUUCAAGUUUUGCAGAAAAUCAGCAGCAUCAAAAGAGCAGUGGAUUUUAAAGAGUUGACUGGGUUCAAUGAGAUUUGUGGAGUGGGUAUGAAAUUUUACUGAUAUGAAGAGGUCCUUACUCAGCUAUGUAUGUACUGCUUUUGAAAAGCAAAAGUCAGUGUAUUGUAUUGGUUGUUUCCUUUUAACAUUUGUUCUGUUAAUUUUGGUGUCUUAAAUUUUUGUUCAAAUCCGUGCAACUGUUUGGUUUAAGGUAACAGUUCAUUAACCCAAGGCGAGUAUUUCAACGACAGAGGACGCAUCAGGCGAGAACGGAUUAACUGAUAGAACAGUCAAGUUUACGUUAAAGGCAGUCAUUCAAUCUUAUUAUACUAAUUAUACUAUUAAUCAAAUUUGUUUGUGUCGAUCUUAAAAUUCACAUUGGAUCACUUGGAGGUUCACACCAUGAUUUUGUAAUGACACGUCGAUCCAAGACCCAAAAAUUCAUGUCGAUCCACUGGAGACGCCAUUUUUAAUGACAUGAUUGAAAAGGUGCUCUCUUGGGCAACACUAUCCAUAACAACCAAUCAAAGGAAAGUCAUGAUGAUCCAUCACAAUCGAACUCUUCAGUCAAUAAAAUCUUUUCAAAAGGACAACGGCACAAACCUAGGUCGAACACUUUGACUUGACAUAACCAAGACGACAAGCUCGAGUAUCAAUGACCUAUAUAAAGGGUGAAGGUCCAACAAGAAACGCCGAAUGGAUCAACAAAAUUAAGCCCAAAAGGUUUCAUUUAGGUUACAGAGUUGAUGUUCUUAGACUAUCAACGUGCCACAUGCAUAUGUAUAGACUUUUUAUGUGUCUUAAAAAAGUCACCGUUAUUCGUAAAAUUAUCCAUUCAUAAACAUGUCCUUAAACAUGGAAUGCUCAUUACGUCUUCUCAAAACCUUUCAUUUAGGAAAAUCUUCAAGAAAAUAAUCCAGUUACUACUUUCCUACAUUAAUCCAUUGAAUUAUAUUUAUUAACGCUUUUAGAAAAUAGGAAUUCACAAAGAUUAACAUAAGCAGAUUUGGUGUGAAUUAGAAUGGAUAAAAUCAGAAGUGGGAGAAAUUAGCUACAUUGUUGAAGAAAUUUCGAUGGUCGGACAAAAAAUAUCAUGUAAUAAUUAGUAUAUAAAAGAACAAAAUUGAUAUUUUAAGAUGAAAACUUGAGACUCGAUAUGGUAUGGGAAUUCAGAAAGCUCAAAGGAACAGUUCAAACUAAAAACUCGAGCUUCGAAUCGAAUUUCAAGAUUGAUAUUUUUUCAACGACGAACUACCUUCUUGUAGGGUAUAUAUGUUAUGGGUCGUCGAAACGGAAACCGAUAUUUUUUAACCAUUAUAUGGUUUUCAUUACAAUAAUCAUACCAAAGUUACAAACACAAAACAGUACAUUAAGAAGCUAAAAUUUCACUUUGACAUUACAUACUCAUACUCUCCAUACACGCAUUCCAUAGUUGCCUAAUUACUAAUAUUAAUAAUUAAAGAAAACAUUAAUUACUCAUAUUAUAUAGAUAACUUAUACCACGAGAUGACAAUACAUCAACUGAUAUAAUGCGACUGAAUUUAAUUAGCAACUAGGAACGGAGAGCCACUUUUAGCGAGAGAAUUUAACAUCUGGGAAAUGGAGUGCCACAGGUGCUGGCAACUUUCCUGGCAUUGGGAGAGUUAAUGAACAUUAGAAGAG